AAGGUAAGUUUUUCCUGCUUCUAUGACGACGGAAGGCGGGUAACUCCUUUAUGGAAUUUGAGCUCGCUUCCAAUAGGGAAGAUGAGAUUUGUUUGUUUUGUUUUCCUGCUUCUAGGACAGUGGAGAGCAGUUUUCAGCCUGAGACCCAUCCCUAGGCCUGGUAGAAGAUGCCAAUCAAAAUAAACCACAUUCCUGAGACAUGGAAAUUAAAACUCUUCAACUCCUCAAGGCCCAGAGACUAUCCCAGAAGAGGACACAAUUGGAGAAAUGGGUUAUUUUACCAAGGCUUUGCCUGGAAUGAUGUGCUUUCCUUUAAGGACUCAAACUUGACUUAUGGAACCAAUGAAAGCCCCUUGGAAAAACUGGCCUCUUACCUCGUCCACACAGUCCCUGACCUGUGUUUGGACGAAAUUCUAACUUUUCUUGGCUACGAGUCUUCAAAAUAAUGUUUUCAAAUUUUUUCCUUCUUUUUUUUCCCCAUUUUUCCUAAUUUGGAGUCACUGAAGACUAAGUUGUGCUUUCUUAAAGCCCUGCAAACUGAAGCUAGGCAACUUAAACUUCAGAAGAAAAUAACAGCAACCUAUUACAUACAUAAGCCACUUUCAUACCUGCCUCCUGAUGU